CCUGACGGGCACAAGCUCUUGCUGCGUCCGGGGCAGGUCCUUCCUGACGGUUCUCGUGCUUCUCCCCCUUGCCCCCCGUAGAAGGAUGAUGACAUCGAAGAAGGCGAUCUCCCAGAGCACAAGAGACCCUCAGCCCCCAUCGACUUCUCACAGAUAGACCCGGGCAAGCCCGAGAGCAUCCUGAGAAUGACCAAGAAGGGGAAGACGCUCAUGAUGUUCGCCACCGUGUCGGGGAGCCCCACGGAGAAGGAGACGGAGGAGAUCACCAGCCUGUGGCAGGGCAGCCUCUUCAACGCCAACUACGACGUGCAGAGGACUUUGUCAAGUGGCACCUUCAGUGGGCGCCUCGGAAAGUAACACAGGUCCGACGGCACCUCCUGGCAUCCCCAGCGGCCCCUGAGAUGCGUCUGCAGUGUUCCAGGGAGCCCCCUGCGCUGCUCAGCACCAGCACCACCACUCCCCCCGCCACACCCCACUCUCCGGCACGCCCAGGUUCUGUCUGUGUCGAUUGAGCCGAGGGGUUAAAUAGUUCAGUUGGCUGUACGGGGAGCCCUUGAGCAGCGUGGGUUUGAGCUGGGCUGGUCCAUGUAUAUGUGGGUUUUUUAAAUAAAUAUAUUGGAAUUUUUUGUGGAGACUUGCAACAAUUUGAAACAUUUUCUUUUUUCUAGCUGACUCUGUUAGAAUACAGAUACCAUACAGAAUACCUGUUAAUUGGCUUUAUGUUACAGGUUCAUCGUGGGGUCAGACCGCGCCAUCUUCAUGCUGCGUGACGGGGGCUAUGCCUGGGAGAUCAAGGACUUCCUGGUCAGUCAAGACAGAUGUGCCGACGUGACUCUGGAGGGACAGGUGUACCCCGGCAAAG